rnacentral:rRNA from 1 species
CCUACGGGAGGCAGCAGUGAGGAAUAUUGGUCAAUGGACGAGAGUCUGAACCAGCGAAGUAGCGUGAAGGAUGACUGAUCUCUGGGUUGUAAACUUUUUUUAUAAAGGAAUAAAACGAGGCACGUGUGCCUUUUUGCAUGUACUUUAUGAAUAAGGAACGGCUAACUCCGUGCCAGCAGCCGCGGUAAUACGGAGGAUCCGAGCGUUAUCCGGAUUUCUUGGGUUUAAAGGGAGCGUAGAUGGGUAGUUAAGUCAGUUGUGAAAGUUUGCGGCUCAACCGUAAAAUUGCAAUUGAUACUGGCAGUCUUGAGUACAGUUGAGGUAGGCGGAAUUCGUGGUGUAGCGGUGAAAUGCUUAGAUAUCACGAAGAACCCCGAUUGCGAAGGCAGCUUACUAAACUGUGACUGACAUUGAUGCUCGAAAGUGUGGGUAUCAAACAGGAUUAGAUACCCGGGUAGUC